rnacentral:rRNA from 1 species
GACAGAGGAUGCAAGCGUUAUCCGGAAUGAUUGGGCGUAAAGCGUCUGUAGGUGGCUUUUUAAGUCUGCCGUCAAAUCCCAGGGCUUAACCCUGGAGAGGCGGUGGAAACUGGUUGACUUGAGUGCGGUAGGGGCAGAGGGAAUUCCCAGUGUAGCGGUGAAAUGCGUAGAUAUUGGGAAGAACACCGGUGGCGAAAGCGCUCUGCUGGGCCUGCACUGACACUGAGGGACGAAAGCUAGGGGAGCGAAAGGG